rnacentral:rRNA from 1 species
AUUGAACGCUGGCGGCAUGCUUUACACAUGCAAGUCGAACGGUAACAGGGUGCUUGCACCGCUGACGAGUGGCGAACGGGUGAGUAAUACAUCGGAAUGUACCCAGUAAUGGGGGAUAACGCUUCGAAAGGAGUGCUAAUACCGCAUACGCCCUGAGGGGGAAAGUGGGGGACCGCAAGGCCUCACGUGAUUGGAGCAGCCGAUGGCUGAUUAGCUAGUUGGUGAGGUAAAGGCUCACCAAGGCGACGAUCAGUCGCGGGUGUUCGAGGCCGCUGCGCCACACUGGAACGGAGACACGGUCCAGACUCCAACGGGAGGCAGCAGUGGGGAUUCUUGGACAAUGGGCGAAAGCCUGAUCCAGCAAUGCCGCGUGCGUGAAGAAGGCCUUCAGGUAGUAAAGCGCUUUUGUCUGGGAGCGAAUCCUGGCCUCUAAUACAGGUCGGGGAUGAGAGUACCAGAAGAAUAAGGACCGGCUAACUACGUGCCAGCAGCCGCCGUAA